UACAGAGGGGGCAAGCGUUAUUCGGAAUUAUUGGGCGUAAAGGGCGCGUAGGCGGCUUGGCAAGUGGAAGGUGAAAUCCCUCGGCUUAACCGAGGAACUGCCCUCCAAACUGCUUCGCUUGAGACCGGGAGAGGUGAGUGGAAUUCCCAGUGUAGCGGUGAAAUGCGUAGAUAUUGGGAGGAACACCAGUGGCGAAGGCGGCCCACUGGACCGGUACUGACGCUGAUGCGCGAAAGCGUGGGGAGCAAACGGG
rnacentral:rRNA from 1 species